CCGGCCAAUGCAAAGAGAACUUUUA
rnacentral:piRNA from 1 species